UACGGAGGAUCCGAGCGUUAUCCGGAUUUAUUGGGUUUAAAGGGAGCGUAGGUGGAUUGUUAAGUCAGUUGUGAAAGUUUGCGGCUCAACCGUAAAAUUGCAGUUGAAACUGGCAGUCUUGAGUACAGUAGAGGUGGGCGGAAUUCGUGGUGUAGCGGUGAAAUGCUUAGAUAUCGCGAAGAACUCCGAUUGCGAAGGCAGCUCACUAGACUGCAACUGACACUGAUGCUCGAAAGUGUGGGUAUCAAACAGG
rnacentral:rRNA from 1 species